GCCCCCGUAGCUUAAUGGACAAAGUCCUGGUCUUCGGAACCAGUAAUGGAAGUUCGAGUCUUCCCGGGGGCA
rnacentral:tRNA from 1 species